AAGAUUCUAAAGAGUUUUAAUACCACAAGAAUCCUGUGGCUUUUUUAUAAGCAUCUUUCUUCCCUCUUGCACUAGCUCUCUUCUCCAACCCUAAACCUGGUAAUCACCAAUCCAACCUCAUUUCUACAGGUGAACUGAGAAAAGUGGCUUCAUUAAGACAAUGAAAGGCAUUGUGGAUUAAAGAUUCAUACCUAUUCUAUGAAUGAUCAAUGAAAGGUUGGCUACAGUUCACUUAUGGGAGAUUUGAGGUUUUGAUUACUGAACAUUGGUCAUCAAUUCUGGUGUUUAUCCAAAUGACCCAUCGACCUCUUUCGAAAAUCUCUAUGUCUGGCCAUUCUCCUGAGAUGAACUUAAGAAAAGCCUGCACACCAUCAGUCACAGUUUCCUCAUCAAAAAUGAAGAUAAGGACAACUGCUUUCUCCAUCUUCUGAAGACACAUGCAGAGGCUGAGAAGUCCCAAGAUCUGCAGACAGCAAGUGGAAGACCCAGAUAUAGUGGUAUACAGUAAUGGUACAAGACCCAAGAAGAACUGAGUUUUCAUUUUGUUUGAAGGCAAAAGAAGACCAAAAUCCCACCUCAAGUAGUCAGAAAGGUAGAGUACCUUCUUAAU
rnacentral:lncRNA from 1 species